UGAAAUUAAGUGGAUUAGUGGCGAACGGGUGAGUAACACGUGAGUAACCUGCCUUACACAAGGGGAUAGCCUUUGGAAACGAAGAAUAAUACCCUAUAAAGUUAGUCAAUCGCAUGGUAGACUAACCAAAGAUUUAUCGGUGUAAGAUGGACUUGCGUCUGAUUAGCUAGUUGGUGAGAUAAAAGCCCACCAAGGCGACGAUCAGUAGCCGGCUUGAGAGAGUGUACGGCCACAUUGGGACUGAGACACGGCCCAAACUCCUACGGGAGGCAGCAGUGGGGAAUUUUGCACAAUGGGGGAAACCCUGAUGCAGCGACGCCGCGUGAUUUAGAAGGCCUUCGGGUUGUAAAAAUCUUUUUUAUGGGAUGAAAAUGACAGUACCAUAAGAAUAAGGUCCGGCUAAAUACGUGCCAGCAGCCGCGGUAAUACGUAUGGACCGAGCGUUGUCCGGAAUCAUUGGGCGUAAAGGGUACGUAGGCGGCCUAGUAAGUUAGAAGUGAAAUAAUAUAGCUCAACUAUAUAAAGCUUUUAAAACUGUUAGGCUUGAGAGAUGAAAGGGAAAGUGGAAUUCCUAGUGUAGCGGUGAAAUGCGCAGAUAUUAGGAAGAAUACCGGUGGCGAAGGCGACUUUCUGGUCAUCAUCUGACGCUGAGGUACGAAAGCGUGGGUAGCAAACAGGAUUAGAUACCCUGGUAGUCCACGCUGUAAACGAUGAGUGUUAGGUUCUUGGAAUAAUCUGGGAGCCGCAGCUAACGCAUUAAACACUCCGCCUGGGGAGUACGCACGCAAGUGUGAAACUCAAAGGAAUUGACGGGGACCCGCACAAGCAGCGGAGCAUGUGGUUUAAUUCGACGCAACG
rnacentral:rRNA from 1 species